AAUAAUCUCAAUGUCAUCCCAGAACUCGGUGUCACAGUGCAUGAGCAAUUUCUAGGAAAUAAAAUAUAUUACAAUAACUGUACGGAAUACAAAUUGGAAAGAAAAGAAAGUACAAUACUCCGAAGGAGACCCUGCUAGUUGCGAGUCGUCUCGAGAGAUACAACUCACCUAAGUCUCCAUAUCAACCAUGUCGCUACGCCCAACGAGGCCACUAGACAUGCAUAUACCUGUGCAACAAAAAUGCACAUUAAGUGUAGUAUGAGUAUGAAAACAACGCGUACCCAGUAAAUAUCCAGUCUAACCUCGAAGAAGUAGUAAUGAGAGGUCGAUUUCACACUUACUAGUGAUCCAAUAAUAUAAUCAGUCGUGGAUUUAUUCAAAAUAGCAGUAAACUCAAGGAAAUCAUGUAGAAAGCAAACAAUCCUUUUGAUAAUAAGAGAUUUCCAAGUUCAUAUUUCCUCAAUUAUAAAUUUAUCUCAGGCCAAGAAAGCAAUAUCAUUAUUUAUAAUUACAAGGCAAGCAAUACAAGCAUGCGCAAAUCAUGCUGAGGUCGUACGAUCCGAUCCAACAUAAUAUUUAAACUGUGCAUUGCCAUAGAGUCAAAUGACGUGAACCAUAGAUGCAUCUACUACCUCGCUCGCGAAUCAUACAUGCGACGCUGUCAAAUAUAAAUAAACACAUCAAAUAGUCAAUCAACAAUUCAUCAGGGAAACAAUUACCCAAAGAAAUGGCAACUUCUUUUUAACGGUUAAGAAAAUGAUAUUUAAUUUCUUUAGAAAUUUAUUUACCAAUUCGAUAUGAUUUAAGCAAUUUAAAUUGUCAAUAAAGUUACAAAUAUUUUAAGUAUAGCAUGCUUUCAGGUCCUAGACUACCCGGACUUAAGCACAAUAGUAGCUACACACGGACUCUCAUCACCUCAUGUGUACGUAGCCCUCACAAAUAGAAGUACUUAUUUAAUUAUUUCACCUAUAUAGAUAAUUCCCUCUUACAAGGUUAGAAAGGAGACUUACCUCGGUCAGAAAUUUCCAUAACCGGCUUCUAAGCUCUUCCGACGACUCAAACUGAUGCCCAACGCUUCAAAACUAGCCAAAUAAUGGACAAACCAAUGAAAAUAAACCCUAAUACUUAUAACAAUUCAAUUUGUAUAAAUUUUCAACUACGUUCGAAAAGUUGAAAAAAUCGCCCUCGGGCCCACAUGCCCAGAUUCUGAAAUUUUUCGAAGAUAAAGUUUACCCAUAAUUUCAUGCCCCAAAUUCGUGGUAAAAAUUCAAAAUACCAAUUUCUAGGUGUUCUACCAAAAACCCACAAUUUCUACUAAUUCCAUUCCCAAAUCCAUAUAUAAUCCAAGUAUUUAACUCAAAACUAGUAGAAACCACUUACCUCAUGCUUGGUGAUGAAAAUGACGCUCCAAAAUUACUUCAAAAUCGCCCCCAUGGAAGAAAUAGGGUUGAAAUGAGCCCAGCCCCCGUCUUUUAAAAGCCACUGCCCAAACGCCCCUUCUUCGCGAUCACGGAAACACGUUCGCGAUUGCGAAGGCUGAAAAGGUAGCCUUCAAAAUUUUCCUCUAUGCGUUCGCGGACCUUUGACCACUACCCCAUUCACGUUCGUGUUCCAGCAGUCGCGUUCGCGAAGGCCAACCGCUCUAGGCCCCGCAUACUCUUCCUCUUACGCGUUCGCGACCCCUAUGUCGCGUUCACGAAGGCCAGGCCAGCCCUGCCUCGCGUUCACAUCUAUUUUCCCGCAUUCACGAAGGCCAAAUUCCAUCAGCCUCCAAAUUCCUCUUCGCGAACGCUAGACUCUCUUCGCGUUCGCGAAGAAGAACACCAGAUAGCAGCAAUAGCAACAGCAAUUCCUCCCAAUUUGGUUCGAAACCACCCCGAAACAUACCUGGGGCCCCCGGGACCCUGUCCAAUCAUACCAACCAGUCCCAUAGCAUAACACGGACUUACUCGAGCCUCAAAUUACAUCAAAUAACAACAAAAUCCCGAAUCACACCCCAAUUCGAGCUUUACGAACUUUAGCACUCCAACUUCAACAUUCGAUGCCGAAAGCUAUCAAAUCUCGUCCGAUUGACCUCAAAUUUUGCACACAAAUCAUAUUUGACAUUACAGACCUACUCCAACUUCCAGAAUCAGAAUCCAACUCCGAUAUCAAAAAGUCCACUUCCGGUUAAACUUCUCAAAAACCUCCAAAUUUCUAACUUUAGCCAAAUGACUCCAAAAUGUCUUAAAGACCUCCAAAUUCAAUUCCGGACGCGCCCCCAAUACCAGAAUCACCAUACGGAGCUAUUCCCAGGCUCGAAAUCCCAAACGAACACCGAUAACACUGAAAUGCACUUCAACCUAAAUUUAUGAUAUUCUUCCAAAAAUACUAACUUCCGCAAUAUGCGCAGGAACGCUGCCGGGUCAUCCAAAACCCGACCCGAACAUACGCCAAAGUCUGAAAUCAUCAUACGAAUCUGUUGGAACCUUCAAAUACCGAUUAUGAGGUCGUUUACUCAAAAAUCAAACCCUAGUCAAUUCUUUCAACUUAAAGCUUCCGAAAUGAGAAUUUCCUUUCCAAAUCAACUCCAAACUUCCCAAAAUUUAAUUCUGACCACGCGUACAAGUCAUAAUACCUGAAGUGAAGCUGCUCAUGGCCUCAAACCACUGAACGACGUGCUAGAGCUCAAAACGAACGAUCGGGUCGUUAUAUUCUCUACCACUUAAACAUAUAUUUAUCCUCGAACGUGCUAAGAAUUGCGCUGGAGUAAUCUGAAAUUACUGUUUAAUAGCUCAUGCACCUACCCAUGCUACCACAAUUGAGUUGAGCACAUUAGCUUGAUCAAAUAUGAAGAUAUCCUCUUUUAAUUAAGCAAAUAAGCUUAGAGCCUAAUUCCAACAUUCAGAAUUCUUUGUCAGGCAUGCUUCCAACAUAUGAAUGUCGUAUCAAUCACCACACGCUGUACCAGAACAUGACUGUACACCCUUGCUGAAUUCACACCAUGCACCACAUCAUUCACAACACCAUAAUAAUACUUUCUGAUCAAAAUAGCCGACAUUUCCCGAAUCUGAUGCUAACAAUGCACUCCAUGACAUAUAUAUGUCCUGUUUCAACUCUCGCAAUGCCGCAACGAUAUAAAAGAUGUGUAGAAAUUCAUAACCAACUGCCGAGUCAAUAAAUCAUUGAAUCUAUACUCCUAACUGUCACACCUCCUUUUUCCCGAUAGGGAUAGGGAGUUUUCCAAUUAAAGUGAUAAUAAUUGAAAUGAGAUUAUUUAUUUAUUCACAGUCACCACUUGGAAUAUUUAUGGUGUCCCAAGUCAUCGGUUUAUUUUAAAAUCUCAAAUCGAGUAACUUUGACUCUUAUUUAUGGUUUGCGAACAUAGAAGACCGGGUAAGGAAUUUUGUUAACUUAGGAGAAAGUGUUAGGCAUUCCCGAGUUCCGUGGUUUUAGCACGGUCGCUUUUAAUCAUACUUGGCUAUAAUUUGUUUAAUUAUGUAUUUUAGAACCUAUGUGCAUUUUACCCUUACCGCUCUUAGUUGAUUAUUCGUAAUUAAGAUAUUAUCCUAAAAUGAGUCACAUGUACAUGUACUCAUUUUGUUAGGUGCGUCAAGAAUUAUGUCACGCGUACAUCUACACAAUUAAUAACAUUUUAUUACUAUUAAGAUUAUUUGGCCAAAGUUGGGCGAACGCAUAUCUCGAUUUAUUUUGAAAAAAUCAUAAUUAUGUCAUGCGAACGCAUACACAAUCACGAUAAUAAAUUAAGUCGCGCCUAAAGCAUUUUUUCUACGAAUAUUCAUUUUUAAAUCAUAAUCGUGUCACGCGAAUGUGUACACAAUUGAUAAUAUUUUAUUUUUAUUAUGAUUGUUUCGCCCAACGUUGCGCGAACGCAUACUUUGGUGCGAAUGUCAGAAAUCCUAAGAAUUGCUUACCCGAGUGAGACCGGUCCAAACAUGUCACUAGCGAAACCCAAAUGAAUUAAAGAUAAAACAAUAAGGUUGCCUGGAGCCUAAACCCCUCAGUUCAUCUCAACCCAAACCCGCAUAUCCAACAUCAAUUUAAUGAAUUUGACCCAAACCCAUUUUUGAUCAACCCCCCACGAUUCAAACAAUUCACUGUUUGCCAUUUCAUUCAAAUUCAUUCAUGUCUUCAGUUUUAUUGAACAUAUCUUGUAAGACAAAAUAAACAAAAAACAAGUGAAACAAUAUAACAAUGAAGCUAACACAGAUUAAACAAAUCAUAAACAUAUUCAAACUUGUUGAAACAAAGAGGUAUAUCCAUCGAUAAAAUAAAGAGAUGAAAAGAAAUGGACCUCAAUAAUUAACUCCUUAGUAUUGACGAGAACUUGGUUACGACAAACUCCGACGAGUCGAAUCUGACCGGGAAAUGAAAUGGCAGGAACUCGGACCGCGAAUCACAUAAUUAACCUCGAACGAUACCAACAACAAAAAACUAGUGAAGAUUAACUUGUUUUGGUGAACACAAAGUGUUUGUGGUAUUGUCUAUUAGUGGAAAGGUGGUGUUGAUUGAGAUUUUUAGGCAAAGAAUGUGGUGUUUCAUGGUGAUGCAGGUGGCGGGUUCAUAAAGUAUUCACAUAGCUUAUUCUUCCAAAUCUCUCUAUUACUCUCUGCCCCUCCUCUCUCUAUGUGUGUGUGCGAGAGCUAAUCGAUUAAGGAAAUGGGGUCGUUUUUCUUUCGAAGGAAGCAGCGGCGUUCAAGGUCCAAAUUCAAAGGUGGGGUCUGCCUUUUUUAAGAUAGAGAUCAAGGUCCUCU
rnacentral:lncRNA from 1 species